UCUGUCAAUUUGUGUUCCAAUUUUCAACUAAUCUGAUAAGUUUUUAACAUUUUUGGCAAAAUUCACCCAUUUUAAAGGAAAAUGGACUGCGAUUUUGUGUAAAAAGGAACAAACUUUAUAGAGAUGAAGGUUCGCGUAUUUUCUAUUCGGGCACUCCCGACAAGAGCACUUUUGUUUGCUUUGUAUAUGUUUUGUGAUAUCUAUAUGGAUAAGGAAUAUUCAAAGCAUUUCCAUUGAUUAGAUUCGUUUUAACUGGUUGCUCAAUUAAGACUAGGACAAGAAAUGUAUGGCUCAGCCCAUGACAGCAUGCAACGAUAUGCCAGCGCACGAAUGAAUCAGCAUUCAGCAAAGGUGUCCCCCAGAAGAACACAAUAACUCAAAGUUAUCCAUGAGUCACAAAGUUUAUGCUCAAAACUUCAUUUGUUCUCUUAUGAAUGCGUAAAUAAAUGCAGCUCGCAAAUUUGUGACUGCCUACCAACUCUUA